GAUGAACGCUGGCGGCGUGCCUAAUACAUGCAAGUCGAGCGAACAGGCGAGGAGCUUGCUCCUCUGACGUUAGCGGCGGACGGGUGAGUAACACGUGGAUAACCUACCUAUAAGACUGGGAUAACUUCGGGAAACCGGAGCUAAUACCGGAUAAUAUAUUGAACCGCAUGGUUCAAUAGUGAAAGACGGUUUUGCUGUCACUUAUAGAUGGAUCCGCGCCGCAUUAGCUAGUUGGUAAGGUAACGGCUUACCAAGGCAACGAUGCGUAGCCGACCUGAGAGGGUGAUCGACCACACUGGAACUGAGACACGGUCCAGACUCCUACGGGAGGCAGCAGUAGGGAAUCUUCCGCAAUGGGCGAAAGCCUGACGGAGCAACGCCGCGUGAGUGAUGAAGGUCUUCGGAUCGUAAAACUCUGUUAUUAGGGAAGAACAAAUGUGUAAGUAACUAUGCACGUCUUGACGGUACCUAAUCAGAAAGCCACGGCUAACUACGUG
rnacentral:rRNA from 1 species